AUUGAACGCUGGCGGAAUGCUUUACACAUGCAAGUCGAACGGCAGCACGGGGGCAACCCUGGUGGCGAGUGGCGAACGGGUGAGUAAUACAUCGGAACGUGCCCAAUCGUGGGGGAUAACGUAGCGAAAGCUACGCUAAUACCGCAUACGAUCUACGGAUGAAAGCGGGGGAUCGCAAGACCUCGCGCGAAUGGAGCGGCCGAUGGCAGAUUAGGUAGUUGGUGGGGUAAAGGCUCACCCAAGCCGACGAUCUGUAGCUGGUCUGAGAGGACGACCAGCCACACUGGGACUGAGACACGGCCCAGACUCCUACGGGAGGCAGCAGUGGGGAAUUUUGGACAAUGGGCGCAAGCCUGAUCCAGCCAUUCCGCGUGCAGGAUGAAGGCC
rnacentral:rRNA from 1 species